GAUGAAGAACGUAGCGAAAUGCGAUAAGUAAUGCGAAUUGCAGAUCUCCGUGAGUCAUUGAAUCUUUGAACGCACAUUGCGCCCUCGGGUAUUCCCGAGGGCAUGCCUGUCCGAGCGUCAUUAUCCAACCAUCAAGCUCGGCUUGCGGUUGAGCCCCGCACCGUCCCCGGGACGGUGGGCUCGAAACAUGUUGGGCGCCCGUGAGGUUGUCGGUGCAGCGAGCUCUCGAGCACGUGCCGGGCAACCGCUCUGGGCGUCGGCCAGCCCCCCCAUUUUCUCAGGUUGACCUCGGAUCAGGUAGGAAUACCCGCUGAACUUAAGCAUAUCAAUAACGGAGGA
rnacentral:misc_RNA from 1 species